rnacentral:rRNA from 1 species
AGAGUUUGAUUAUGGCUCAGGAUGAACGCUGGCGGCACGCUUAACACAUGCAAGUCGAGCGGACCAAGACUCGGUCUGGUUAGCGGCGGACGGGUGAGUAACACGUGGGUAACCUACCCUAUACCGGGGGAUAACAUAGAGAAAUUUAUGCUAAUACCGCAUAAGCCUACAGGACCGCAUGGUUCGGUAGGAAAAGCAUUUGUGAUAUAGGAUGGGCCCGCGACUGAUUAGCUAGUUGGUACGGUAACGGCGUACCAAGGCAACGAUCAGUAGCCGGUCUGAGAGGAUGGACGGCCACAUUGGGACUGAGACACGGCCCAGACUCCUACGGGAGGCAGCAGUGGGGAAUAUUGCACAAUGGGGGGAACCCUGAUGCCAGCGAUGCCGCGUGAAGGAAGAAGUAUUUCGGUAUGUAAACUUCUAUCAGCAAGGAAGAAAAAGGACAGUACUUGAAUAAGCAGCCCCGGCUAACUACGUGCCAGCAGCCGC